CUCUUUCUCUCUCUCUUAUUCUAAGUAGUAUAACAACACAACACUACAGCAACGAUAAAAAACAAAGAAAAUCAAACGCUGUCAAUAACACCGCCACCGUCGUUCAUUGAAACGCCACACCGUAACGAAACUCCGCACCGUAGUGAAACACCGCGUUGAAACAAAACACUGCACCAAAACGAAAUGCUACACCGUAACGAAACACAGACGCAACACCACCGUCUUAUGGGGAACUCAAUUUUGCAACGGGACUGCCAAUAGACGUUUGCCGAUAAAUACUACGGUCUACGGAAUUGAUCUUCAGUAGACACAUUAAAUAUAGGGAGAUAUUCCAGAAAGAAGUUUUUCAAAAUUGAAGUUAUUAAAGACUUACUUGCAGUCUACCAUGUCACAAGAAAGACUUAAUGGAUUGACAACAAUAGCAGUUGAAAAUGAUAUAUAUUUUGGAAACUAUAAAAUAUGAAGAC